rnacentral:rRNA from 1 species
AGAGUUUGAUCAUGGCUCAGAUUGAACGCUGGCGGCAGGCCUAACACAUGCAAGUCGAACGGUAGCACAGAGAGCUUGCUCUCGGGUGACGAGUGGCGGACGGGUGAGUAAUGUCUGGGAAACUGCCUGAUGGAGGGGGAUAACUACUGGAAACGGUAGCUAAUACCGCAUAACGUCGCAAGACCAAAGAGGGGGACCUUCGGGCCUCUUGCCAUCAGAUGUGCCCAGAUGGGAUUAGCUAGUAGGUGGGGUAACGGCUCACCUAGGCGACGAUCCCUAGCUGGUCUGAGAGGAUGACCAGCCACACUGGAACUGAGACACGGUCCAGACUCCUACGGGAGGCAGCAGUGGGGAAUAUUGCACAAUGGGCGCAAGCCUGAUGCAGCCAUGCCGCGUGUAUGAAGAAGGCCUUCGGGUUGUAAAGACUUUCAGCGGGGAGGAAGGCGAUAAGGUUAAUAACCUUGUCGAUUGACGUUACCCGCAGAAGAAGCACCGGCUAACUCCGUGCCAGCAGCCGCGGUAAUACGGAGGGUGCAAGCGUUAAUCGGAAUUACUGGGCGUAAAGCGCACGCAGGCGGUCUGUCAAGUCGGAUGUGAAAUCCCCGGGCUCAACCUGGGAACUGCAUUCGAAACUGGCAGGCUAGAGUCUUGUAGAGGGGGGUAGAAUUCCAGGUGUAGCGGCGAAAUGCGUAGAGAUCUGGAGGAAUACCGGUGGCG